rnacentral:rRNA from 1 species
ACGGAGGUGGCAAGCGUUACUCGGAAUCAUUGGGUGUAAAGGGCAAGUAGGCGGUUUAAUAAGUGAGGGGUGAAAUCUUUCGACUCAAUCGGGAGACUGCCUUUCAAACUGUUAAACUUGAAGCAGGAAGGAGGAAAUGGAAUUCUCGGUGUAAGGGUGCAAUGUGUUGAUAUCGAGAAGAACACCGACGGCGAGGGCGAUAUCCAGAUUCUGACUUGAUACUGGAUUGCGAAAGCGUGGGGAGAAAUGAG